GAUUUUAUAAAUUGCAACAUUAGCUUAAUUUUUAUUAUAUUUUUGUACUGUGGCAACUUUUCUCUCUCUUGCUCUGUGACACGGACCGAAUAGACGUAUGUAAUUAUUUGCAAUCGUUUUAUUUACUGAAAAUCUGAAUCUCCUGCAUCAGCGCACCAGCCCUAUCAACAAGCUACACCGCUGCACAUGGUCCUUCGAAAAGAGAAGCGCUGCUGGGAGACGAAACUCCAGGUUUGCAAACAAAUUUACGGCCGUGUCGCACGAGGCCAUUUUUUUUUCGGUGAGCAUUGAGCAAGCAAACGGGCUCGCGAUUUCCUGUGAGACUGGUCGUCGCUACAAAAUCGCAAUACCUACACGAUUCGACGGCCACAAUUACAAGCUCCACAGGAGGAAGCCCAGCAUCAGCAUCGAUCUAAAAUUCGAUUUCACCGUCGUCGCCGGAGUCACCUCUGCAGGUGCGAAGAGUACACUUAGCAGCAAGAUAGGGUGUUCCGCGAGAGCAAGCGAGACGGAGCACAUCGAAAUUCUAAAGAUUCGCAUUUCAUCGCACGCCCGCACGCAACAAUAGGACAAUCGUACGGGCGCGAAAGAGACAGCAAGGGACGCCACAAAACUUCACAGCAGCAACAGGCGAGCUCGCGCAACCGCCAUUUUGUUGGGAAGAAUUGGAUCGCCGUCGCCGAUCAAUACUGUAUAAAAAAUAUUACAAUACUGUGUAAAAGUGUUUAAUAUAGCAGUGGAUCUUGUAAUACAUAGUUAAUAGUGUUCCUGUAAAGUUAUUAUUAAGUUAUUAACGUAAAGUACAGGUAAUAUUUGUUUUAAGAAUCGACAAGUUUAGCGAACAAUGGAAGACCUAAAGAAAAAAGUCGCCGCACGCGGUUAUGUGAAAGGUACUAUGACUAGAUUAUUUAAUUUCGUGAAUAUUGCCAAUUUAGACGAUAUUUCCAUUAACGACCUAUGCACAAAACGUGAUAGGCUCAAUGUGGCUUUUAAAGAAUACGAAGCCCUAUGUAAAGAUAUUCUCGGUCUUGACUCCGCCGACGAGGAGGAUGUGGAGUCGGUGGAGGACAAUUAUUUUAAAACUUUAUCAGCCUUUGACAAACGCAUCAAGCCUCUUGAUUCAAACCCUUCAGGCUCUUCCACUCAUGAAAAAACACAUAAAACUAAAUUACCACCUAUAUCCAUAAAACCCUUUGAGGGCACAUACACAGAAUAUGUUCCAUUUAUCAAUUUAUUUAAUUCAUUAAUUCAUAAUGACAAUAGCCUAGACAAUAUACAAAAAUUCUAUUAUUUAAGAACAUUGUUAAAGGGUGAGCCAUUCGAUUUAGUCAAAAACUUGCCGGUUGAAGCUCUCAGUUAUGAUGCAGCUUUAAAUUUACUAAAAAAUAGAUAUGAAAAUAAAUAUAGAAUAAUCUCUGAGCACAUUUGCAAGCUAUUAGACUUAAAACAAAUAGUAAAAUCAACAGCAGUCUCACUCAGAGAAUUUAUUUCAACAGUUAGGCAGCAAAUAGCUGCCAUCAAAUAUCAAGAACCUAAUGUUAUAUACUGGGAUGCUAUAUUGUUGUGUAUUCUCUCUCGCAAACUAGACAGUUACACUGCGAAGGCCUACCAACUUGACCGGGAUAUGAAUGCUAAGCCGCAAUUGGAGGAUUUUCUCAAUUACAUUGAGAACCGAGCCAAUGCACUGGAGAAUGUCGAGCAGGGACAUCAACCCCAUCCUGGUAAUAGUAGCAGUAAGGUAGCAGCAGUCGCCACUACAGGAGCAACAUGCACUUACUACGCUAUUGCCCAACGAGCAGUGCAUGACCAUCAGCCUGCCCAGCCACAGCAACCAGUCAUCAGCUGUGCCCCGGAGUGCUGCUCAUCCACCACAACAGCCUAGUAGCACACAGCUACAUGUCUUCAACACAUACUUCGGGCACAUUGUAGGAGGGAAUCUGCCACCUAAGUGUUUCAGAAGGAGACUCGGCAGAUUUAAUCGGCUUUGCUGACGCUUCGAGUAAGACAGCCUACGGAUGCUGUGUGUACCUGCGAGUCACAGACCAAACAGGUACAACGAAAUUGCAUCUACUUUGUUCGAAGUCGCGAAUCAACCCUAUCCAAAAGAAAGGCAUGACUGUGCCAAGGCUUGAAUUGAAUGCUGCACUCUUGCUAUCAAAAUUGGUUUUGAGGACUCAUGAUACACUCAGAGUCAAAAUUAACAUCAGGCAUGUUUGUUUAUUCAGCGACUCGCAAAUCGUUCUUGCAUGGCUAAACACUGAGCUAACAAAACUUCAAGCUUACGUAUCGAACAGAGUAAGUGUAAUUCGUCAAAACACAUCUGGAUACAGUUGGCAUUAUGUCAAUACGCAUGACAAUCCUGCUGAUCUCAUUAGCCGAGGCGUCAACCCGAAUGAGCUGAGUAGCUGCGAUAUUUGGUGGAAUGGCCCUAAGUUCCUGCAAAACAGUGAGUACAAGUUUGCUGCUUAUAGCUCACCAGCUGAGUCACUCACAGAGGAGCGCUGCUUAGCUCCUUCCAGCAACUUGGUGUGCCAAAAUCCCAAUCCGCUUGACUAUGUGUUCAAGCGCUUGCAUAAUUACUCUAAUAUAAAUAAAAUAGUAAGGCUAUUAGCAUACAUAUUGCGAUUUUUAAACAAUAUUAACAAAAAUAAUUCUAAAAUAAAUACAAACUAUCUGCAAAGUUCUGAGUUAGAUAAUGCAUUAAUGUUACUUAUUAAAUAUGAACAAAGUAUAUAUUUUAAAUCUGAAAUCAAAGCAAUAAGCAAUAAUAAGAGCUUGAAGGGGAAUCUAGUUGAGUUGCAUCCCUUUCUUGACAAUAGGGGUCUAUUGCGCGUUGGUGGCAGGCUGCAUUAUGCUAAUAUAGCUUAUUCACAAAAACAUCCUGUCAUACUACCUAAGGGCUCUUCAAUUACUAGCUCGCUUAUAAGGUGUGAACAUGAAAGGCUACUGCACGCAGGGCCUAAGCUUUUACUCUCGCAUCUCAAUCAAAGGUUUUGGAUUGUUAAUGGCUUAUUAGAAGUUAAGAAAGUAACUCACAAAUGUAUUGUAUGUUUCAGACAAAAGGCCUUAGCAGCCAAGCAACUGAUGGGCUCCUUGCCGGCUGCACGUGUAACAGCCACCAGCAGGCCAUUUGAGAAAGUCGGCGUGGAUUUCGCUGGGCCAAUUGAUGUGAAACUCUCUCGCGUAAGACGAUCUUUAAUAGGUAAAGGGUAUAUCUGUGUAUUCGUAUGUUUCGCGACAAAAGCAGUUCACUUAGAACUUGCAUCAGAUUUGACCACGGAAACCUUUCUUGCGUGCUUAAGGAGAUUUAUCUCCAGACGAGGUUUGCCCACCGAAAUUCACUGCGACAAUGCAAGUACUUUUAAAAGUGCAAGGAGUCAAUUAGUUGAGCUCUACAAGCUGCAAGCUUCGCAGAGCCACCAAAUGCAGGUUCAAAGAUUUACCGCCGAGCGUGGGAUACAAUUUCACUUUAUACCAUGUUACUCACCUACAUUUGGCGGGCUCUGGGAAGCGGCAGUUAAGAGCACGAAGUUUCACUUAAAAAGAAUAUUACAAAAAACUGUUCUAACUUAUGAACAGCUUAAUACUGUAUUAACUGAAAUCGAAGCAGUGCUUAAUUCUAGGCCACUCUUACCUUUAUCUUCAAACUCUGAUGAUUAUUGUUAUUUAACACCUGGUCACUUUAUUAUAGGUAGUGCUUUGUCAAUGUAUCCUGAAAUAAAUGUAUGCAACAUUCCACAAAAUAGACUUAAGUUUUGGCAACUAUGUAAUUCUUUAAAACAAUCCUUUUGGAAAGUGUGGCACCAAUGUUAUUUAAAUUUAUUACAAAACAGGCCUAAGUGGCGUGAUACAGUUUGUAAUGUUAAGUUAGGCAACUUAGUUAUUUUAAAAGAGGACAAUAUUCCUCCUAUGUCAUGGCCAAUGGCACGAAUUGUUAAAUUAUUUCCAGGACAUGAUGGAAAAAUUAGGGCAGUUGAUGUUAGGACACCAAAUGGGAAAACCCAUACCCGUGCCAUCAAUAAAAUUUGUUUACUGCCAAUAGAAUAUGAUGAUAGUACUUAAGAAAUUGUAUUAAUGUUUAAUUAAUAAGUCAUAUUUGUAAAACCAUAUAAGUUAUAGUUAUACUUCUGUGAGGCCGCAGCAUGUUGGAUUUUAUAAAUUGCAACAUUAGCUUAAUUUUUAUUAUAUUUUUGUACUGUGGCAACUUUUCUCUCUCUUGCUCUGUGACACGGACCGAAUAGACGUAUGUAAUUAUU
rnacentral:misc_RNA from 1 species